CCUUCCUUGAAUUUUUUUGGUCUGACUAUCCCUGUUUCAGCCACAUGUGCAGCCGAUAAUUUCAAAACAAUGUAAGGUUCAAUCUCCAGCACUGCAAGGAAAAAGAAGUUCAAAGUAACGCAAGAAUUAUAAGGUGGUUCAAAUGGAAGGCGAAAUCCUCCUUAAUGGGAUCUGAAGGGAGCAUCCUGAAUUAGAAGCCUUGC